rnacentral:rRNA from 1 species
CUGAUGUUAGCGGCGGACGGGUGAGUAACACGUGGGUAACCUACCUAUAAGACUGGGAUAACUCCGGGAAACCGGGGCUAAUACCGGAUAAUAUUUUGAACCGCAUGGUUCGAUAGUGAAAGACGGUUUCGGCUGUCACUUAUAGAUGGACCCGCGCCGUAUUAGCUAGUUGGUAAGGUAACGGCUUACCAAGGCGACGAUACGUAGCCGACCUGAGAGGGUGAUCGGCCACACUGGAACUGAGACACGGUCCAGACUCCUACGGGAGGCAGCAGUG